GGUUGCGAUCAUACCAGCACUAAUGCACCGGAUCCCAUCAGAACUCCGCAUUAAGCGUGCUUGGGCGAGAGUAGUACUAGGAUGGGUGACCCCCUGGGAAGUCCUCGUGUUGCAACCC
rfam:Helianthus annuus unplaced genomic scaffold HanXRQChr00c0173, whole genome shotgun sequence.